AUGCCCAAAGGAAAGAAGGCCAAGGGGAUAAGGUAGCACCGGCCCGGCCCCUGCAGUCAUGAAGAAGCAGGAGGCCAAGAAGGUAGUAAAUCCUCUGUCUGAAAAAAGGCCCAAGAACUUUGGCAUUGGACAGGGCAUCCAACCCAAAAGGGACCUCACUACAUCCAGCUGCAGAGCCAAAGGGCAAGCCUCUGCAAGCAGCUGAAAGUGCCCCAUGCAAUUAACCAGUUUACCCAGGCCUUGGACCGCCAGACAGCUACACAGCUACUUAAGCCGGCCCACAAGUACAGGCCAGAGACAAAACAAGAGAAGAAGCAGAGACUGUUGGCCCGAGCUGAGAAGAAAGCUGCUGGCAAAGGAGACGUCACCACUAAGCAACCGCUAGUCCUUCAAGCAGGGGUUAUUACCUUGGUGGAGAACAAGAAGGCCCAGCUUGUGGUGACUGCACAUGAUGUGGACCUAUCGAGCUGGUUGUAUUCCUGCCUGCCCUGAGCCGCAAGAUGGGUGUUCCCUACUGCAUCAUUAAGGGGAAGGCCAGGCUGGGGCAUCUCGUCUACAGGAAAACAGGCACCACCGUUGCCUUCACUCAGGUUAACUCAGAAGACAAAGGAUCUCUGGUGAAGCUGGUGGAGGAUAUCAGGACCAAUUACAAUGACAGAUAUGAUGAGAUCCGUCGUCACUGUGGAGGCAAUGUCCUGGGUCCAAAAUCUGUAGCUCCAAUUGCCAGGCUGGAAAAGGCAAAGGCUAAGGAGCUGGCCACUAAGCUGGGCUAAGCCUGCAAUGUUGAUUUCUCUGUACAUGAAAAUAAUAAAACUGUCCUUCCUCCAG